UGGAGAAACUUCGAUCGUUUUAUCAAGUUUAUCGAAUAUUUUCUUACGUGGCUAUAGCCGGGAAUGUUUAAGAGGUUUGAGAAUACGAGUUUCAUAUAAUUUGGUGAGACGACUACUAUGUCGCGCGAACCAGGGAUGGGAAAGACAUUGUUUGACUGUGAACCGAUCUGGGGGAUUCGUUUUUAAAAGAUUUGAUAUCAGAUCUUUGGCUUGCCUGGAGACGGAUUUCCAAACAGGAUCUCGAAAAUCCACUUGUUUUUCUUUCACUCCAUCUGCAAAUGAUGGUGAAUUACCUGACAACAGCAAAAACAUAAUUACUCCAAGGCUCCAUAAAUCGACCUCUUUACCGUAACCAGAAGAAUUUUCCUUUUCCACUUGAGACCUUCCUUUUAAUCUUUGGAUUUCCGGGGCGGUAUAUUCCGGAGUGCCUACGAAAGUCGAAAGUCUUUUUCCCUUCUGCAUACAUCUUGCAACACCAAAAUCGGUUAAAAUGAUUCUAAAAAUGGUAUCAGAGGACGACGCAAUGAGAAUAUUUUCAAGUUUUAAAUCCCUGUGAAUUAUAUUCUGCUCAUGUAAAUAUUUUAGCCCUUGUAGAAUUUGAAACAUAAUAAAUAAAGUGGUAACUUCAGGAACCGUUCCCAAUUUCGUUAAAUAACUGAACAAAUCUCCUCCCGUCACCAUUUCCUCAAAUAUAAAACUAAGGAAUAUUAAUCAUCAAAAUAACAAACCGCAUUCAAUCUACUUACAACUGAGUUUCCGAAUUAUACUCCAUGUUUACUUUGAUAAUGUUAGGAUGAUCAAGUUUCCUAAGAAUUGUCAUCUCGUGGUCCUCGAAAAACCGUUUCGUUGAGAUUUUUUUCUUGUCGAUGAUUUUACACGCGUAUUGUCCCCCAGUGUUAUUAUCCAUUGCCAUGUAAAUGCGCGAGAAGCCACCAAUUCCCAAUAGUCUUUGAGUGAUGUUAAAUCUCUCACCCGCAUACUCGUGAUGAAAAUCAUUAUCAGUAGUGUAUUUCUGCUGGAAAAGAAAGGAAGCGCAGUGCCGAACAUCGAGUAUAUCUCCAUCCGAUAAAAGGACGCUAUUGCCUUUACCAAUUAAACGAUGAUUUAAGAAUGUUCCAUUAGAGCUCUGAUCUUCACAAUAAACAAGGGGAUCCAUAUCAUCAUCGAUUAGCACCGAAUACACUCUAAAGUGCUUAUAACUGGCAGUGAAUUGCAGAAGCUGAUAAUUGCAUGUAUUACUCCUUCCAACAGAAACGUCUUCAUAUUUCUUAACAUUCAGUACUAAUAUAUGUCAAAAAUCAAUUGAAACAAGAGAACACACCUGUUUGUGGAGAAGAUGAUGAAAAAACAAACAAUCGAGCGAGAACAUCAUCUUCAGUAUAUUGAGGAUCCAUAGUACUUUCGUCUAUUUGACUCAAUUCACAAAGAAUUUGCGUUGAUUCAGAUCGACUAAGCAUGGCAUG